rnacentral:rRNA from 1 species
AGUUUGAUCAUGGCUCAGAACGAACGCUGGCGGCAUGCUUAACACAUGCAAGUCGAACGAGACCUUCGGGUCUAGUGGCGCACGGGUGCGUAACGCGUGGGAAUCUGCCCUUUGCUACGGAAUAACUCAGAGAAAUUUGUGCUAAUACCGUAUAAUGUCGUAAGACCAAAGAUUUAUCGGCAAAGGAUGAGCCCGCGUAAGAUUAGCUUGUUGGUGAGGUAAAGGCUCACCAAGGCGACGAUCUUUAGCUGGUCUGAGAGGAUGAUCAGCCACACUGGGACUGAGACACGGCCCAGACUCCUACAGGAGGCAGCAGUGGGGAAUAUUGGACAAUGGGCGAAAGCCUGAUCCAGCAAUGCCGCGUGAGUGAUGAAGGCCUUAGGGUUGUAAAGCUCUUUUACCAGGGAUGAUAAUGACAGUACCUGGAGAAUAAGCUCCGGCUAACUCCGUG